GGUCCUAUAGCUCAGUUGGAGCCUUGAAAACGAAGGCUUUGCCGAGUUUUUAAGGUCUUGUUAGAGCAUCUGACUCAUAAUCAGGGGGUCCCUGGUUCAAGCCCAGGUGGGACCA
rnacentral:tRNA from 2 species